rnacentral:rRNA from 1 species
ACUCCUACGGGGGGCAGCAGUGGGGAAUAUUGGACAAUGGGGGGAACCCUGAUCCAGCGACGCCGCGUGAGUGAAGAAGUAUCUCGGUACGUAAAGCUCUAUCAGCAGGGAAGAAAAAAAGUCUUUGGCUUUGGACGGUACCUGACUAAGAAGCCCCGGCUAACUACGUGCCAGCAGCCGCGGUAAUACGUAUGGUGCAAGCGUUAUCCGGAUUUACUGGGUGUAAAGGGAGCGCAGGCGGCACGCUAAGCCUGAUGUGAAAACCCGCGGCCCAACCGCGGGAGGG